CCAGAUUAGGUAGUAACAACCAUUUGAGUCUGGGAUUUCUGAAUGGGGAAACCCACUUACAUAAGUAAGUAUCCUUACCUGAAUACAUAGGGUAAGGAGGCGAACCGGGGGAACUGAAACAUCUAAGUACCCCGAGGAAAAGAAAUCAACCGAGAUUCCGAAAGUAGCGGCGAGCGAAAUUGGACUAGCCCUUAAGCUUUACACGCGUUAGACGAACGGUCUGGAAAGUCCGACGAUACAGGGUGAUAGUCCCGUAGUUGACGACGUGUGUUCAGUGAAAUCGAGUAGGGCGGGACACGUGAUAUCCUGUCUGAAUAUGGGGGGACCAUCCUCCAAGGCUAAAUACUACUGACUGACCGAUAGUGAACCAGUACCGUGAGGGAAAGGCGAAAAGAACCCCUGUGAGGGGAGUGAAAUAGAACCUGAAACCGUGUACGUACAAGCAGUAGGAGCAGGCUU
rnacentral:rRNA from 1 species